CUACCAUGGCAGUCACGGGUAACGGAGAAUUAGGGUUCGAUUCCGGAGAGGGAGCCUGAGAAACGGCUACCACAUCUACGGAGGGCAGCAGGCGCGAAAAUUGCCCAAUCCUGACACGGGGAGGCAGUGACAAGAAAUAACAAUUCUAGGUUUUCUUAGAAGUGUAAUGAGGAUAAUUUACAAACCUUACCGAAUGCAAUUGGAGGGCAAGUCUGGUGCCAGCAGCCGCGGUAAUUCCAGCUCCAAUAGCGUAUAUUAAAGUUGUUGCAGUUAAAAAGCUCGUAGUUGAAGUUCUGAUUGUUCGGGUUUCUAGACAUUAGUCGGAGAUACUGACAGUCAUCCGCUUGCAAACAUAUGUUCGAUCUUUACCGGUUGGCUAUGUGAGUAAGCAUUUUACCUUGAGAAAAACAGAGUGUUCCAGGCAGGUUUGUCCGGAAUGCAUUGGCAUGGAAUAAUAGAAUAUGACUGAAGUCUAUUUAUUGGUUACAGGCUUUAGUAAUGAUUAAUAGGAACAGUCGGGGGCAUUCGUACUCAGUAGUCAGAGGUGAAAUCCUAAGAUUUGCUGAAGACGAACUAAUGCGAAAGCAUUUGCCAAGGAUGUUUUCAUUAAUCAAGAACGAAAGUUAGGGGAUC
rnacentral:rRNA from 1 species